rnacentral:rRNA from 1 species
UGGGGAAUAUUGGACAAUGGGCGAAAGCCUGAUCCAGCCAUGCCGCGUGUGUGAAGAAGGUCUUCGGAUUGUAAAGCACUUUAAGUUGGGAGGAAGGGCAGUAAGCGAAUACCUUGCUGUUUUGACGUUACCGACAGAAUAAGCACCGGCUAACUCUGUGCCAGCAGCCGCGGUAAUACAGAGGGUGCAAGCGUUAAUCGGAUUUACUGGGCGUAAAGCGUGCGUAGGCGGCUAAUUGAGUUGGAUGUGAAAUCCCCGGGCUUAACUUGGGAAUUGCAUUCGAAACUGGUUAGCUAGAGUAUGGCAGAGGAUGGUAGAAUUUCAAGUGUAGCGGUGAAAUGCGUAGAUAUCUGGAGGAAUACCGAUGGCGAAGGCAACCAUCUGGCCUAACACUGACACUGAGGUUCGAAAGCGUGGGGAGCAAACAGG